GUACGUUCUCAGGGCGGGGUGUAAUUCCCCACCGGCGGUAAUGGCGCGCAAAGCGUCUAGCCCGCGAGCGCUUGCCGGUCUGUUGCAGACUGUGCGGCAAGGUCAGCAGAGCCGGUGAGAUUCCGGAGCCGACGGUUAAAGUCCGGAUAAAGAGAGAGCGGGA
rfam:Vibrio sp. J237 Contig_6, whole genome shotgun sequence.